rnacentral:lncRNA from 1 species
AUAGGAAAUCAGGGAGGAGGCAUUUGGAUACAAAGAGUGAUUCCUUUGACUCAAGAGAAAAACCCAUCACUGAAAGUGGCCGGAUAGGCUGGCUUUGAUAUUUGCCAUAUGAGCUGCUAUAAUCUGUGGCCACUCCAGCUUUCUCAUUCUCCUUCCAACACAUCAAGCUUUGUCACACCUCAGAGCCGGCGCACUUACUGCUUCAUCAGACUGGGAUGCUUUCUUCAAGAGCUGUCACCCCACGAGAAUGGGGCCAUCGUCUGCCGGGUGCUGCUGCCCCUCACAGAGGAGAUGCUCAGGAAAAGCUUAUUGAAUGGAUGAGUGGUUUUGUUUUUUGAUUGGUUUUUGCAGACAAGGGGCAUGGGAGACAGAAUUUGUUCCUUUAGCUUUGAAAUAUGUUUCAGCUUUGUCUUCUUCACUACAUGCUCGUUGGUUUGCACAGGAUUCUCAUAUUUAAGUGCAGAUCCCUGCAAGUGCACAAUGAGGGUAAUAAAGGCACCCAUCUCCUGGAGUUUUUAAGGGCACUAAAUGAGAAAUAUGCACAAGGUGCUUCUCACCGUGCCAGGCAGAAUGGAGCAGAGGAAUUUGGGCAUAGCUGCUCUCCUAGCAGCUUA